GACGAACGCUGGCGGCGUGCUUAACACAUGCAAGUCGAACGGAAAGGCCCUGCUUUUGUGGGGUGCUCGAGUGGCGAACGGGUGAGUAACACGUGAGUAACCUGCCCUUGACUUUGGGAUAACUUCAGGAAACUGGGGCUAAUACCGGAUAGGAGCUCCUGCUGCAUGGUGGGGGUUGGAAAGUUUCGGCGGUUGGGGAUGGACUCGCGGCUUAUCAGCUUGUUGGUGGGGUAGUGGCUUACCAAGGCUUUGACGGGUAGCCGGCCUGAGAGGGUGACCGGCCACAUUGGGACUGAGAUACGGCACAGACUCCUACGGGAGGCAGCAGUGGGGAAUAUUGCACAAUGGGCGGAAGCCUGAUGCAGCCACGCCGCGUGCGGGAUGACGGCCUUCGGGUUGUAAACCGCUUUCGCCUGUGACGAAGCGUGAGUGACGGUAAUGGGUAAAGAAGCACCGGCUAACUACGUG
rnacentral:rRNA from 1 species